AGCGAGGUGGAGCAGCCCGGAGUGCUCGCGAGGCCCAUAACCUCGAGGUCGGUGGUUCAAAUCCACCCCUCGCUA
rnacentral:tRNA from 1 species